rnacentral:lncRNA from 1 species
UCCUGGGCUCAAGCGAUCCUCCCACCUCGGCCUCCCGAAAUGCUGGGAUUACAGGUGUGAGCCAGGGUGCCUGGCACUGUCUAUUUCUUACUGUCUCUCUCCGCCUGUCUGAUGAUCUUUGUCUCCCUGUUUCUCUCGUUCCCUCCCUGACUCUCAGUCAGUUUACCUCUCUGUCUCUCUGUCUGCUUCUGACAGUGUCUCCCUCUCUGUUUCUCUUGGCCUCUUGAAUUCUCUGUCUCUGAACAUGUGUGUCUGUCUCUCUUUCUCCAGGAUAAAGAAUGCUGGCCUCGGUGGGCACCCACAGUCCCUGCAGUUGGACUACCCUGCUCCCAGCUCCCAUAAAUAGUUUGGCUGAUACCUUGAGGACUAAAGAAGUGCAUGGAAUACAGAUAUGUUCACAGCGCUCAAAAGAAAGGUGAUACUGAACUUAUGAAGCAGAUAAAUUAGGGGUGAUUAUUCUCAUUACAAAAGGAUACGCUACAGGGAUUCUUUAAGUGAAUGUUAGCCAAGGACAGAGACUGGGUCUGUCUUCACUGUUGGCUUCUCAGCCCCUUACAUGGGAACUGGCACUUAGGAGGGGCUCAGCAGGUUCUCUCUCUGUCACCCAGGCUGGAGUGUAGUGACUCAAU